CUAAUUGCGCGUUGCCAUGUGAACUGCAGGACACAUGAACAUUGACAAUUCGAACGCACAUUGCGGCCCUAGGACUUGUUCCUGGGCCACACCUGACUGAGGGUCGG
rnacentral:rRNA from 2 species